CAGUAGCCACGGUAAUACAGAGGAUGCAAGCGUUAUCCGGAAUGAUUGGGCGUAAAGCGUGCGCAGGCGGCUAUGCAAGACAGAUGUGAAAUCCCCGGGCUCAACCUGGGAACUGCAUUUGUGACUGCAUGGCUAGAGUACGGUAGAGGGGGAUGGAAUUCCGCGUGUAGCAGUGAAAUGCGUAGAUACGCGGAGGAACACCGAUGGCGAAGGCAAUCCCCUGGUCCUGUACUGACGCUCAUGCACGAAAGCGUGGGGAGCAAACAGGAUUAGAUACCCGCGUAGUCCCUGUCUCUUAUAC
rnacentral:rRNA from 1 species